rnacentral:rRNA from 1 species
UACGUAGGGUGCGAGCGUUAAUCGGAAUUACUGGGCGUAAAGCGUGCGCAGGCGGUUUUGUAAGUCGGAUGUGAAAUCCCCGGGCUCAACCUGGGAACUGCGUUCGAAACUGCAAGGCUAGAGUAUGGUAGAGGGGGGUAGAAUUCCACGUGUAGCAGUGAAAUGCGUAGAGAUGUGGAGGAAUACCAAUGGCGAAGGCAGCCCCCUGGACUAAUACUGACGCUCAUGCACGAAAGCGUGGGGAGCAAACAGG